rnacentral:tRNA from 1 species
UGGAGUAAAGCCGAAUGGUUAGGCGGUGGACUUUGAAUCCAUGUAAAGAAGGUUCGAUUCCUUCUACUCCAA